rnacentral:lncRNA from 1 species
GGCAGGCGUGCAGGGGCAAGGCAGGUGCGUAAGAGCGAGGCAGAUGCGCAGGUGCGCGGACCAGGUCCCGGUUCUGGCGGAUUUGGCCCAGGCACCCCCAGCCCCCAGGUAGGAGGCACAACCCUGCUCCCAAUGCCCAACACCUGCCCCCAAUGCCCAACACCUGCCCCACACACCUGAGGUACCUCCUGGGCGUCCCACACCAGGACAGGCCUGGAGACUUCCAGCCACUGCCACCUGGCACACCCAGCACCUGCAGAUCCACCACCUUAAAACCCACCUCUACUGCCCCAUGUCACGGUCCCUGCGGGGCCAGGCCUGCCUGGCACGUCCACCCCGGGUCUCCCUGCCUCACCCUCUUGCGCAUCCACAGUGAACAGGGGCAUCUUUCCAAAAUGCAGAUCUGGCCGGGUGCGGCGGCUCAUGCCUGUAAUCCCAGCACUUUGGGAGGCCGAAGCAGGUGGAUCACAUGAAGUCAGAAGUUGGAGACUAGCCUGGCCAACAUGCCAGCCUCCAGCAUCGCCUCCUCUGGGAUCUUCUCUGACUUCCCAGUCGGUUUCAGAAGCCUCUGAUGACCCCAUGCGGAGAAGACUGCUCCCCUCACUGCUGGCACACGGCAGAUGCUCAGUAAGUAUCGUUCAAUGACUGACUAAAUGUCUCAUAAUAUCCUUCAUAAACAAGGGCCUGGUGUGGAUUCAUAAAUGGGUCUCUCAAAGUUUAAUUGGUGAGACUCUGUUGUAUCAGACAAUGAAGGGUUAAAAGAUAAUAUUCAAAAAAGUAAAAUCAUGACACACAAAUCUAGAAUGAACACACAUUGAUAAGGUUUGGAUCUGUGUCCUCACCCAAACCUCAUGUCGAACUGGGAUCCCCCGUGUCAGAGGCGGCCGCGUGGGAGGUGACCGGAUCGCGGGUGGACCCUUCAUGAAGGGUUCAGCACCAUCCCCUUGGUGCUGUCCUGGGACAGAGUUCUCUUGCGAUCUGGUUGUUUAAACGUGUGUGGCCCCUUCCCCCUCUCUUUUCCUCCUCCUCCUGCCGUGGGAGACACUUGCUCCAGCUUCGCCUUCCGCCGCGAGUUGAAGCUCCCCGAGGCCUCCUCAGAAGCAGAAGCCACCACGCUUCCUGUACAGCCUGUGGGACCCGGAGCCAGUUCAACCUCUUUUCUUUAUAAAUUACCCAGACUCGGCCGGGCACGGUGGCUCACGCCUGUAAUCCCAGCACUUUGUUGAGACCGAGGCAGGCAGAUCACGAGGUCAGGAGAUCGAGAACAUCCUGGCUAACACGGUGAAACCCCGUCUCUACUAAAAAUACAAAAAAUUAGCCGGGCGUGGUGGCGGGCGCCUGUGGUCCCAGCUACUCGGGAGGCUGAGGCAGGAGAAUGGUGUGAACCCGGG